GACGAACGCUGGCGGCGUGCCUAAUACAUGCAAGUAGAACGCAGUUGCGAACGGGUGAGUAACGCGUAGGUAACUGCCUGGUAGCGGGGGAUAACUAUUGGAAACGAUAGCUAAUACCGCAUACUACCAGAUGGACCUGCGUUGUAUUAGCUAGUUGGUGAGGUAACGGCUCACCAAGGCAACGAUACAUAGCAGACCCGGAGGGGUUGUCUGCCACACUGUGGCUGGGACACGGCCCCGACUCCCUAGGGAGGCAGCCGUAGGGAAUCUUCGGCAAUGGGGGGAACCCUGGCCGAUCAACGCAGCGUGAGUGAAGAAGGUUGUCGGAUCGUAAAGCUCUGUUGUUAAGUAAGCGGUACUUAACCAGAAAGGGACGGCUAACUACGUGCCAGCAGCCGCGGUAAUUC
rnacentral:rRNA from 1 species